AUAUGUGACGAUUAUGACGGUAGCAUAUGAAUAAGGAUCGGCUAAUUCCGUGCCAGCAGCCGCGGUCAUACGGAAGAUCCAAGCGUUAUCCGGAAUUACUGGGCGUAAAGAGUUGCGUAGGUGGCAUAGUAAGUAGAUAGUGAAAUCCUGGGGCUCAACCCUUUAAACAUUAUCUAAACUGCUAAGCUAGAGGGCGAGAGAGGUAGCUAGAAUUCCUUGUGUAGGAGUGAAAUCCGUAGAUAUAAGGAGGAAUACCGAUGGCGUAGGCAGGCUACUGGCUCGUCCCUGACACUAAGGCACGAAAGCGUGGGGAGCGACCGGGAUUAGAUACCCCGUUAGUCCACGCCGUAAACGAUGGAUGCUAGCUGUUAUGCGUAUCGACCCGCGUAGUAGCGAAGCUAACGCGUUAAGCAUCCCGCCUGUGGAGUACGAGCGCAAGCUUAAAACAUAAAGGAAUUGACGGGGACCCGCACAAGCGGUGGAGCGUGUUCUUUAAUUCGAUGGUAAGCGAAGAACCUUACCCAGGUUUGACAUCCUGCGAAGGUCUCCGAAAGGAGACUGUGCCUUGUGAGCGCAGUGACAGGUGUUGCAUGGCCGUCGUCAGCUCGUGUCGUGAGAUGUUUGGUUAAGUCCAUCAACGAGCGCAACCCUUAUAGUUAGUUGAAUUUUUCUAGCUAGACUGCCCCGGCAACGGGGAGGAAGGAGGGGAUGAUGUCAGGUCAGUAUUACCCUUACACCUGGGGCUAGAAACACGCUACAAUGGCCGGUACAAAGGGCAGCCAAGUCGCGAGACGGAGCAAAUCCCAUCAAAGCCGGUCCCAGUUCGGAUAGCAGGCUGAAACUCGCCUGCUGAAGCCGGAAUCG
rnacentral:rRNA from 1 species